UACGUAGGGGGCAAGCGUUGUCCGGAUUUAUUGGGCGUAAAGAGCUCGUAGGCGGCUUGGCAAGUCGGGUGUGAAAACUUCAGGCUCAACCUGGAGCGGCCACUCGAUACUGCUAUGGCUUGAGUCCGGUAGGGGACCACGGAAUUCCUGGUGUAGCGGUGAAAUGCGCAGAUAUCAGGAGGAACACCAAUUGCGAAGGCAGCUCGCUGGGACGUUACUGACGCUGAGACGCGAAAGCGUGGGGAGCAAACAGG
rnacentral:rRNA from 1 species